rnacentral:rRNA from 1 species
GAUGAACGCUGGCGGCGUGCCUAAUACAUGCAAGUCGAGCGAACAGAUGAGGAUCUUGCUCCGCUGACGUUAGCGGCGGACGGGUGAGUAACACGUGGAUAACCUACCUAUAAGACUGAGAUAACUUCGGGAAACCGGAGCUAAUACCGGAUAAUAUAUUGAACCGCAUGGUGCAAUAGUGAAAGACGGUUUUUGUGUCUCUUAUAGAGGGAUCCGCGCCGCAUUAGCUAGUUGGUAGGGUAACGGCUUACCAAGGCAACGAUGGGUUACCGACCUAAGAGGCUGAUCGGCCACACUGGAGCUGGAACACCGACAAGACUACUAAGGGAGGGAGCAGUAGGCAAUCUUACGCAGUGGGCGAAAGCAUGGCGGAGCAGCGCCAAGUGAGUGGUGAAGGUCUUGGGAGCGUAAAGAUCUGUUAUUAGGGAAAAACAAAUGUGUACGUAAAUACACACGUCUUGACGGUACCUAAUCAGAAAGCAACGGCUAACUACGUG